GCAAUGAAAUGUAGUGUGAAAUUUUCACUGUAGCACUGGAAAGGAUUAAACUUUAUUCAUGCAAAGUAUUUCUUUGGUUGAAAUAAAGUGUUCACAUGUUCUGAAGAGCAUUCUGUUGAAAAAUCUUAUAUGUGAAUUGGUCUGCAGAUGACACUUCAGCAUUAAAACAAAAUAUAUCAAGUUUUGAUGAAAAAGGAAGGAAGGAGGAAAAAUGGACCAAAACAGACCAAAACAGACCUUCAAAUGAACUCUAAAAGGUGCAAUAAAAUUGU